AGUCGUAACAAGGUCUCCGUUGGUGAACCAGCGGAGGGAUCAUUACCGAGUUUACAACUCCCAAACCCAUGUGAACAUACCUACUGUUGCUUCGGCGGGAUUGCCCCGGGCGCCUCGUGUGCCCCGGAUCAGGCGCCCGCCUAGGAAACUUAAUUCUUGUUUUAUUUUGGAAUCUUCUGAGUAGUUUUUACAAAUAAAUAAAAACUUUCAACAACGGAUCUCUUGGUUCUGGCAUCGAUGAAGAACGCAGCGAAAUGCGAUAAGUAAUGUGAAUUGCAGAAUUCAGUGAAUCAUCGAAUCUUUGAACGCACAUUGCGCCCGCCAGUAUUCUGGCGGGCAUGCCUGUCUGAGCGUCAUUUCAACCCUCAUGCCCCUAGGGCGUGGUGUUGGGGAUCGGCCAAAGCCCGCGAGGGACGGCCGGCCCCUAAAUCUAGUGGCGGACCCGUCGUGGCCUCCUCUGCGAAGUAGUGAUAUUCCGCAUCGGAGAGCGACGAGCCCCUGCCGUUAAACCCCCAACUUUCCAAGGUUGACCUCAGAUCAGGUAGGAAUACCCGCUGAACUUAAGCAUAUCAAUAA
rnacentral:misc_RNA from 1 species